rnacentral:sRNA from 1 species
GUCGCUGCAAAUUCAGCGAUCGGGCUUGGUCGCCCGAAAAGCAAAAGGCGCAACAGCGCCCCCAUUCAGAUUGCAGGCGCUUUUUUU